GUGGAUUAGAUACCCUGGUAGUCCACGCCCUAAACUGUGGAAACUAGGUACAGGGAGUAUCGACCCUUCCUGCGCCGUAGCUAACGCGUUAAGUUUCCCGCCUGGGGACUACGGUCGCAAGACUAAAACUCAAAGGAAUUGACGGGGGCCCGCACAAGCAGCGGAGCGUGUGGUUUAAUUCGAUGCAACACGAAGAACCUUACCAAGGCUUGACAUGCUGGAAGUAGCGAACCGAAAGGGGAGCCAACUGUUAAGUCAGUAGCCUCCACAGGUGCUGCACGGCUGUCGUCAACU
rnacentral:rRNA from 1 species